GUAGCAGUACCUUCUUUUAUAUGUGCUGAUGCCUUUAACAAACUGCUGCCUUUCUGUACGGGUUUUGCAGCAGGGUGUAUGAUCUGGAUAGUUGUUGCUGAGGUUCUCCGAAUCCUUUGAAGAUCGCUGAUGUAAUUUUCGCACUUGGAUCUUUUGUGAUGGCAGCUGCACCCGAUCCAUACAUGUCUAUAUUCGGUCGUUUAUUAGUCGGGCUGGGUGUCGGGAAUUUAAAAUUGAAAUGCUCUUGCUGGGCUCAUUCACAACUGGUGCCAUUUUGUUGGUAGUUAUUUUUUGCCUUCAUGUUCGUUGUGAAGAAUUUUAAAACUAGCAUGAAACAUGAUCAAUAUCUACAGGAUGGACUCUCAGAGAUUAUAUAUUCAGGGCUAUGUUUGAUCCGUAACCAUGUCACUAAUAAACGGGCUAUGUUUAAUAUAGGGAACUCAAUUUACUACGGGAAAGGUUUUGGUAACUCGAAGGAUACGCAUCUUCAAAGGGACUCGACUAUCUUUAAAUUGUGUAUCCACUGUAUCACUAAUUUAUGUAACAUGAGACUUUGUAUUUUAUUUUAUUUGUACACUUAAUAUUUAUCUUAAUAGUUUUCUCCAACCCGGGUAGCACCCGGGUGAUAACCUA